rnacentral:rRNA from 1 species
UACGGAGGGUGCGAGCGUUGUCCGGAAUCACUGGGCGGAAAGGGCGCGUAGGCGGUGCGGUAAGUCAACUGUGAAAUCUCCUGGCUCAACUGGGAGCUUGCAGGCGAAACUGCCGUGCUGGAGUGUGGGAGAGGUGCGUGGAAUUCCCGGUGUAGCGGUGAAAUGCGUAGAGAUCGGGAGGAACACCAGAGGCGAAGGCGGCGACCUGGACAAGUACUGACACUCAACUACGAAAGCGUGGGUAGCAAACAGG